CGGGGUGUAGCGCAGGGGUAGCGCGCUUGGUUCGGGACCAAGAAGUCGCAAGUUCAAUUCUUGUCACCCCGA
rnacentral:tRNA from 1 species